CGGGGUGCCGCAGGCGAGAAAUCUAUGCAAUGCGGGAAACCGUGACAAGGGAACUCAGAGUGCCCGUAAAAUCGGGCUGUCUAUCGGUUUAAAUAAUCGGUGAAGAAAGGGCCGGGCCAGACCGGUUCCCGCCGCCGCGGUAAAACCGGCGGCCCGAGUGGUGGCCACUAUUAAUGGGCCUAAAGCCUUCGUAGCCGGUCUGUUAAGUUUCUGGGGAAAUUCUCCGGAUUAACCGGAAGGCGUGUCAGGGAUACUGGCAGACUAGGGACCGGGAGAGGUGAGAGGUACUCCAGGGGUAGGAGUGAAAUCCUGUAAUCCUUGGGGGACCACCUGUGGCGAAGGCGUUUCACCAGAACGGCUCCGACAGUGAGGGACGAAAGCUGGGGGAGCAAACCGGAUUAGAUACCCGGGUAGUCCCAGCUGUAAACGAUGCGCGUUAGGUGUAUCGGUGACCACGAGUCACUGAGGUGCCGAAGAGAAAUCGUGAAACUUGCCGCCUGGGAAGUACGGUCGCAAGGCUGAAACUUAAAGGAAUUGGCGGGGGAGCACAAGGGCGAAUCGCG
rnacentral:rRNA from 1 species